rnacentral:lncRNA from 1 species
UUAACGACACAUAUUCAUUACCGCAUGACUUAUAAUAACUUAUUUAAUGAUAAUUUUUUUGUGUGUAGAGCUUUUUUCCACCUGACAAAUAACAUUUUAAUAUCAUUAAACAACACAUUCAUUAUCACACGAUUCGUCAUACAUUAUCUGACGAUCAAUUUUUUCGUGUGGAUAUUUGUUUUCAACGAAAAUAUAAUCCUACCUUAUUAAACAAUACAUUCAUUUUCACAUGACUUAUAAUACAUUACCUGACAAUUGAUCUUUUCGCGUGAGUGCACACUUUUUUUGCACUUGUCAAAUACAACCCCACCUUAUUAAACGAUAUUUCAUUAUCAUGUUAUUCGUAAUUGCCUAUGUGUUAACAUGUUUUUUCUCGUGUGAGUCCUCCGGUCAAGUUUUUUCAUUUUCAUUAACUAUACGUUCAUUUCCACGUGACUUAUGAUAAAUUAUCUGAUGAUUGAUAUUUUUCGUGUGAGUGCGUACUUUUUUGCACUUGUCAAAUAUUACUCCACCUCAUUAAAUGACAUAUCAUUAUCACAUUAUUUGUAAUUAUCAAUUUGUCAACAUGUUUUUUCU